rnacentral:rRNA from 1 species
CGCGGCCUAUCAGCUUGUUGGUGAGGUAAAGGCUCGCCAAGGCAUUGACGGGUAGCUGGUCUGAGAGGACGAUCAGCCACACUGGGACUGAGACACGGCCCAGACUCCUGCGGGAGGCAGCAGUGGGGAAUCUUGCGCAAUGGGCGAAAGCCUGACGCAGCAACGCCGCGUGGGGGAUGAAGGCUCUCGGGUUGUAAACCCCUUUCAGCAGGGACGAAAUUGACGGUACCUGUAGAAGAAGCCCCGGCCAACUACGUGCCAGCAGCCACGGUAACACGUAGGGGGCGAGCGUUGUCCGGAAUUAUUGGGCGUAAAGGGCUCGUAGGCGGUUCGGUAAGUCAGAUGUGAAAGGUUGGGGCUCAACCCUAAGACUGCAUUUGAUACUGCCGUGACUAGAGUCCGGUAGAGGAGUGUGGAAUUCCUGGUGUAGCGGUGAAAUGCGCAGAUAUCAGGAGGAACACCGACGGCGAAGGCAGCACUCUGGGCCGGUACUGACGCUGAGGAGCGAAAGCGUGGGUAGCAAACAGGAUUAGAUACCCUGGUAGUCCACGCCGUAAACGUUGGGCACUAGGUGUGGGACCUUAUCAACGGGUUCCGUGCCGUAGCUAACGCAUUAAGUGCCCCGCCUGGGGAGUACGG